UACGGGGGGAGCAAGCGUUGUUCGGAUUUACUGGGCGUAAAGGGCGCGUAGGCGGUCAGCACAAGUCAGUUGUGAAAUCUCCGGGCUUAACUCGGAAAGGUCAACUGAUACUGUGCGACUAGAGUGCAGAAGGGGCAACUGGAAUUCUCGGUGUAGCGGUGAAGUGCGUAGAUAUCAGGAGGAACACCGAUGGCGAAGGCAGGUCUCUGGGCCACUACUGACGCUGAGAAGCGAAAGCAUGGGGAGCGAACAGG
rnacentral:rRNA from 1 species